AUGUCGCAGCAGCCGCCCCCACCGCAGCUACAGGAGGAGCAGCCACCACCCUCACCAACACGGCUGCAGCCGCCACCACCAUCACCAUCACCAUCACCACCGCCAUUAACAUCACCACCGCAGCCUCCACCGCCAGCACAGCUACCAGCUCGGCUAAGGCAACAAAAUGUCCAAGACCCUCUUAUUCAGCGCACCUCCAAGUACAUUAUCCAGGAUUCCCAAAGGCCAGGUCCUCAGCUUGGCUUACUGGGGACCGAUCAAACUGGAGGGCAAUCCACCUACUUUAACAACAACAGAUUCCAAGGAGAGAAGAAACUCCCUCAAGGCCCUGGUUUUAGGAAAUCCUACCAAUCUAGCCCAAAUAAAUACACUGGGACCUCACGAUUCACGUCAACGAAUUACACACAGCAGUGGUGAUCCAGAGAUAGACCCCAAGAUCCCACAGGCCGUCAGCAAAAAACAGAUGAGCAACCCCACCUUCUGCCCACCCAGCCACAUCUUGCCUCCAAAGCCCCUCUCUCUUGAUCCACUAUAGAAGAGGAGCCUAGCUGAGAAUAAAGUGUGAUUUCUUCCUGGAAAGAAUCA
rnacentral:lncRNA from 1 species